AGCAAGCAACACACUUUACUACGUAGUAGCGGCUGGCUAGGGUGGACUUUACUUACAAUCCAAAUGGGCCAGCGCACGCCAUGUGCCAGUUAAAGCGCAUUUUUUUUUUUUUUUAAUUAAAA